CGCCAGAUAGCUCAGUUGGUAGAGCACCUGAGGCUGACUAGAGAUUCAGGGGGCCCGGGUUCGAAACCCCGUCUGGUCC
rnacentral:tRNA from 1 species